AGUGGCGAACGGGUGAGUAACACGUGGGUAACCUGCCCCCUGCUUCGGGAUAACUCCGGGAAACCGGGGCUAAUACCGGAUAUUCAUUGCUGGCCGCAUGGUUGGUGGUGGAAAGUUUUUUCGGCUGGGGAUGGGCCCGCGGCCUAUCAGCUUGUUGGUGGGGUGAUGGCCUACCAAGGCUUCGACGGGUAGCCGGCCUGAGAGGGCGACCGGCCACACUGGGACUGAGACACGGCCCAGACUCCUACGGGAGGCAGCAGUGGGGAAUAUUGCGCAAUGGGCGGAAGCCUGACGCAGCGACGCCGCGUGAGGGAUGACGGCCUUCGGGUUGUAAACCUCUUUCAGCUCCGACGAAUUUGACGGUAGGAGUAGAAGAAGCACCGGCCAACUACGUGCCAGCAGCCGCGGUAAUACGUAGGGCGCAAGCGUUAUCCGGAAUUAUUGGGCGUAAAGAGCUCGUAGGCGGUUUGUCGCGUCUGCUGUGAAAACCCGAGGCUCAACCUCGGGCCUGCAGUGGGUACGGGCAGACUAGAGUGCGGUAGGGGAGAUUGGAAUUCCUGGUGUAGCGGUGGAAUGCGCAGAUAUCAGGAGGAACACCGAAGGCGAAGGCAGAUCUCUGGGCCGUAACUGACGCUGAGGAGCGAAAGGGUGGGGAGCAAACAGGCUUAGAUACCCUGGUAGUCCACCCCGUAAACGUUGGGAACUAGUUGUGGGGUCCAUUCCACGGAUUCCGUGACGCAGCUAACGCAUUAAGUGCCCCGCCUGGGGAGUA
rnacentral:rRNA from 1 species